rnacentral:tRNA from 1 species
UAAUAUAGCUGAGUGUUAGAGUGCUGAAUUUCUGUACUUUUGAUGCAGGUUCGAAU